UACGGAGGGUGCGAGCGUUGUCCGGAAUCACUGGGCGUAAAGGGCGCGUAGGCGGCCCGGCAAGUCAGUGGUGAAAGCCCGAGGCUCAACUUCGGGUCGGCCACUGAUACUGCGGGGCUCGAGUCGACUAGAGGCAGAUGGAAUUCCUGGUGUAGCGGUGGAAUGCGCAGAUAUCAGGAGGAACACCGGUGGCGAAGGCGGGUCUCUGGGCUGUGAACUGACGCUGAGGAGCGAAAGCGUGGGUAGCGAACAGGA
rnacentral:rRNA from 1 species